rnacentral:tRNA from 1 species
GCGGACGUGGCGGAAUUUGGCAGACGCGUAUGGCUUAGGACCAUAUACUGGAAAGUAUGGGGGUUCAAGUCCCUCCGUCCGCA